rfam:Amborella trichopoda AMTR_V1.0_contig_28086, whole genome shotgun sequence.
CUGAGCCGUAUGAGGUCGGAAACUCUCAAGUACGGUUCUAAGGGAAGGAAUUUAUCCGCCUAUUCCGAC